UACGUAGGUGACAAGCGUUAUCCGGAAUUACUGGGCGUAAAGCGCACGCAGGCGGCCGAGUAAGUCUGACGUGAAAUCUCCCGGCUUAACCGGGAGCGGUCGUUGGAAACUACUUGGCUUGAGGCGAUGAGAGGGGUGUGGAAUUCCCGGUGUAGCGGUGAAAUGCGCAGAUAUCGGGAAGAACACCCAUGGCGAAGGCAGCUCUCUGGGACGGUACUGACGCUGAGACGCGAAAGCGUGGGGAGCGAACAGG
rnacentral:rRNA from 1 species